rnacentral:snRNA from 1 species
GUGUUUUAUCUAGAUGAUG